rnacentral:rRNA from 1 species
AGAGUUUGAUCAUGGCUCAGAAUCAACGCUGGCGGCGUGCCUAACACAUGCAAGUCGAGCGAGAAAAGGGGGGGCAACUCCCUGAGUACAGCGGCGCACGGGUGAGUAACACGUGGGUAAUCUGCCCUGGAGUGGGGAAUAACACCGGGAAACCGGUGCUAAUACCGCAUACGAUAACGAGGUCUGCGGACUUUGUUAUGAAAGGAGCAAUUCGCUCCAGGAGGAGCCCGCGGCUGAUUAGCUAGUUGGUGAGGUAAUGGCUCACCAAGGCUACGAUCAGUAUCCGGUCUGAGAGGACGGUCGGACACACUGGAACUGAGACACGGUCCAGACUCCUACGGGAGGCAGCAGUGGGGAAUUUUUGGCAAUGGGGGCAACCCUGACCAAGCAACGCCGCGUGGGUGAUGAAGUCUCUUGGGACGUAAAACCCUUUCGACGGGGAAGAAAACCGCAAGGUUUGACGGUACCCGUAGAAGAAGCCCCGGCUAACUCCGUGCCAGCAGCCGCGGUAAUACGGGGGGGGCAAGCGUUGUUCGGAAUUACUGGGCGUAAAGGGCGCAUAGGCGGUUUGUUAAGUUGAAUGUGAAAACUCUGGGCUUAACCCAGAGCCUGCAUUCAAUACGGGCAGGCUAGAGUUCUGGAGGGGAUAGCGGAAUUCCUGGUGUAGCGGAAAUGCGUAGAUAUCAGGAGGAACACCGGUGGCGAAGGCGGCUAUCUGGACAGAGUCUGACGCUGAGGCGCGAAAGCUAGGGGAGCAAACAGGAUUAGAUACCCUAGUAGUCC